UAGGGAAUCUUCGGCAAUGGACGAAAGUCUGACCGAGCAACGCCGCGUGAGUGAAGAAGGUUUUCGGAUCGUAAAACUCUGUUGUUAGAGAAGAACAAGGACGUUAGUAACUGAACGUCCCCUGACGGUAUCUAACCAGAAAGCCACGGCUAACUACGUGCCAGCAGCCGCGGUAAUACGUAGGUGGCAAGCGUUGUCCGGAUUUAUUGGGCGUAAAGCGAGCGCAGGCGGUUUCUUAAGUCUGAUGUGAAAGCCCCCGGCUCAACCGGGGAGGGUCAUUGGAAACUGGGAGACUUGAGUGCAGAGGAGGAGAGUGGAAUUCCAUGUGUAGCGGUGAAAUGCGUAGAUAUAUGGAGGAACGCCAGUGGCGAAGGCGGCUCUCUGGUCUGUAACUGACGCUGAGGCUCGAAAGCGUGGGGAGCAAACAGG
rnacentral:rRNA from 1 species